CCCUGGCAGUCAGAGGCGAUGAAGGGCGUGCUAAUCUGCGAUAAGCGCCGGUAAGGUGAUAUGAACCGUUAUAACCGGCGAUACCCGAAUGGGGAAACCCAGUGUGAUUCGUCACACUAUCAUUAACUGAAUCCAUAGGUUAAUGAGGCGAACCGGGGGAACUGAAACAUCUAAGUACCCCGAGGAAAAGAAAUCAACCGAGAUUCCCCCAGUAGCGGCGAGCGAACGGGGAGGAGCCCAGAGCCUGAAUCAGCAUGUGUGUUAGUGGAAGCGUCUGGAAAGGCGCGCGAUACAGGGUGACAGCCCCGUACACAAAAGCGCAUGUGCUGUGAGCUCGAUGAGUAGGGCGGGACACGUGGUAUCCUGUCUGAAUAUGGGGGGACCAUCCUCCAAGGCUAAAUACUCCUGACUGACCGAUAGUGAACCAGUACCGUGAGGGAAAGGCGAAAAGAACCCCGGCGAGGGGAGUGAAAAAGAACCUGAAACCGUGUACG
rnacentral:rRNA from 1 species